rnacentral:rRNA from 1 species
GAUGAACGCUGGCGGCGUGCUUAACACAUGCAAGUCGAACGGGAAACCUUUUAUUGAAGCUUCGGCAGAUUUAGCUGGUUUCUAGUGGCGGACGGGUGAGUAACGCGUGGGUAACCUGCCCUAUACAGGGGGAUAACAACCAGAAAUGGUUGCUAAUACCGCAUAAGCGCACAGGACCGCAUGGUCCGGUGUGAAAAACUCCGGUGGUAUAGGAUGGACCCGCGUUGGAUUAGCCAGUUGGCAGGGUAACGGCCUACCAAAGCGACGAUCCAUAGCCGGCCUGAGAGGGUGAACGGCCACAUUGGGACUGAGACACGGCCCAGACUCCUACGGGAGGCAGCAGUGGGGAAUAUUGCACAAUGGGGGAAACCCUGAUGCAGCGACGCCGCGUGAAGGAAGAAGUAUCUCGGUAUGUAAACUUCUAUCAGCAGGGAAGAUAGUG